rnacentral:rRNA from 1 species
CUGCAGCCCGAGUGGUGAUCGAUUUUAUUGAGCCUAAAGCGUCCGUAGCCGGUCUAGUAAACUCUUGGGUAAAUUGGGCAGCUUAACUGUCCAAAUUCCGAGGGGACUGCUAGUCUUGGGACCGGGAGAGGUCAGAGGUACUCCAGGGGUAGGGGCUAAAUCCUGUAAUCCUUGGGGGACCACCAGUGGCGAAGGCGUCUGACUAGAACGGAUCCGACGGUAAGGGACGAAACCCUGGGGCGCGAACCGGAUUAGAUACCCGAGUAGUCC